rnacentral:rRNA from 1 species
CACGUAGGGCGCGAGCGUUGUCCGGAAUUAUUGGGCGUAAAGAGCUCGUAGGCGGCCUGUUGCGUCCGCUGUGAAAGCCCGGGGCUUAACCCCGGGUCUGCAGUGGAUACGGGCAGGCUAGAGGUAGGUAGGGGAGAAUGGAAUUCCCGGUGUAGCGGUGAAAUGCGCAGAUAUCGGGAGGAACACCGGUGGCGAAGGCGGCCUUCUGGACAGUGACUGACGCUGAGACGCGAAAGCGUGGGGAGCAAACAGG